GGAGGGUGCAAACGUUAAUCGGAAUUACUGGGCGUAAAGCGCGCGUAGGCGGUUUGGUAAGUCGGAUGUGAAAGCCCUGGGCUCAACCUGGGAAUUGCAUUCGAUACUGCUGAACUAGAGUAUGGUAGAGGGAAGUGGAAUUUCCGGUGUAGCGGUGAAAUGCGUAGAUAUCGGAAGGAACACCAGUGGCGAAGGCGACUUCCUGGGCCAAUACUGACGCUGAGGUGCGAAAGCGUGGGGAGCAAACAGGGAUUAGAUACCCUGGUAGUCCACGCUGUAAACGAUGAGAACUAGAUGUUGGGAGGGUUACCUCUCGGUGUCGCAGCUAACGCGUUAAGUUCUCCGCCUGGGGAGUACGCCGGCAACGGUA
rnacentral:rRNA from 1 species